GCCUACCCACUACAGCUAACUACUAGCCUACAUCACAGUAUAUCUAGCUACAUACAGUAUAUCCAGUAGCCUACUAGACUACACCACUGCCGCCGAGUGACUUGACUAAAAGGACUGACUGUAAAACUAAAACUAAUUAAAAGAAACGGUAGGCUAGUGCUAUAUCUUAUUUGUAACAACAACGCGAGACGAUGAUGCAAAACAUAACGUUACAAUGUUGCAAAACAUAACACGUUGUGAACAGCAGCAAACAAAGACUAACGAGCAAUGUGCUAGCUGGUAAAUUACAAACUUGGCACAAUCGGAAUAUAACAAAGCCCUACAAGUGAAAGGACUUAAGGUUAAACCUCAAACCCUUGCAUUACAACCACUAGGCCUACAUCAUGAAACUGUAACAUAUUUCACUUACUUUCGUGAGCUCGAAUUCAAGACGAGUGUAAUCCAUUCCAAGACUUCUUCUUUCAAGCGGUGUUCAAACAGAGCCCGUUUACGGAAGUCAGAACAAUCGACUUCAAUCGAUGACCUGAAAGCAGAGGCGCUGGGUGCAUCCGAAUACCCAUACUAGCGCACUGUACAGUAGGCGAGACGCAGUACGCCACAGUAGUAGUACGUCCGAAUUCUUAGUAGGCAUCGACUAGCAGGCGAAAAGUACCCGGAUGGCCUACUACCUCCACAGUAUACAACGGAUGGUCACUACGCUAUCCCACAAUUCAGCGGGAGCCCGAUAACCGUAGAAGAAGACGAGCCGCCGGGAAAAUCAAAUCGGACAAAAUGGCUGAUACGAUGGAGGUCACGGCAGCUACUUCUGCCGAUGUUUAUAAAUGUUUAAGUAGGAACUACAACAUGUAUUACAGCAUCCCAAUAUGCUGACAUCAAGAGAGCAGAUGCAAGAACGGCCCCAAAGAUCUGUCUUCCCUGGAUGACAGCCUGACCUGCAGCUUAAUCCUGUGAAAACAUCUGACAUCAUAAAUUGCAUCACCCCAACAUGUGUAGAGGAAACCAAACGACCAGAAGAGACACUCAAUAACACAUAAACACACACACACACACACACACACACACACACCAAUGCCUGAGUACUAGGGGUGUAAUGAUACACAAAACUGGCUUGUACCUCAAUUUUGAAGUUUUGUCAUUAGGUUCAUUUUUGCCACUGCUAACCUAAAGUUCAUUAACAAUAUAUGUUCUCAAUGAAAGUUCGUCAAUUGUUUUUUGAUGUUAGUUGAGUAAACUGACAUAAUGGUCACCACUUGUAUGUCCAUGGCAUAACAUUCUACUGUUGAUUACUGUUAAAGGCUGCAUUUGCAUCUGUAUUGAACAUCCUGUACCUAAAUGGUAAGGUAUGAAUAGGUUUACCUUUACACUCCUACUGUGCGUGCCUAUUUUAUGUUUUAUAUAAUAAACAUU